CCUACGGGAGGCAGCAGUGAGGAAUAUUGGUCAAUGGGCGAGAGCCUGAACCAGCCAAGUCGCGUGAGGGAGUACUGCCCUAUGGGUUGUAAACCUCUUUUGUCGGGGAGCAAAAGCCGGACGUGUCCGGCUGUGAGAGUACCCGAAGAAAAAGCAUCGGCUAACUCCGUGCCAGCAGCCGCGGUAAUGCGGAGGAUGCGAGCGUUAUCCGGAUUUAUUGGGGUUAAAGGGUGCGCAGGCGGAUUUUUAAGUCAGCGGUCAAAUCGUGGGGCUCAACCCCAUCCAGCCGUUGAAACUGGGGAUCUAGAGUGUGCGAGAGGUAUGCGGAAUGCGUGGUGUAGCGGUGAAAUGCAUAGAUAUCACGCAGAACCCCGAUUGCGAAGGCAGCAUACCGGUGCACAACUGACGCUCAGGCACGAAAGCGUGGGUAUCGAACAGGAUUAGAUACCCUAGUAGUC
rnacentral:rRNA from 1 species